UCCAAUAAACUCUUAUAAUGUUAUUUUGAAGAAUUUAAAUAAAUAAUUAUGAAUAUUUACUAUGUAUACCUUACUAUACUCAUCAAUUAACAUGCAUGUAAGCUUUUUGUAAUAAAGUACAACUAUACCUGAUAUAGAAUAGAAAUUAAAAUACAAUAAUUAUUUAAAUUUAUUCACAAGUACAAUAAUUAUUUAGGGUUAAUUGCAUACACGUCCCUACAAACAUGGUGAAUUGUAGAUAUAUCCCUGCAAAGCUCAACUUUCAUAAGUUAUCCCUACAAAAGUCCUAAUGUAUUCAUAUGUCCCUGCCAUUAGGGCCAUUAGAGAAAUUUCGUUAACCACAGUUAAAAUACUUAACCAUGGUUAAUUAAUAAUGUGAAUUAACAAUUUUACCUUUCUUCUUCUUCCUCUUCCUCUUCCUCUUCCUCUUCCUCUUCCUCUUCCUCUCCUGCUGCUUCUUCUUCUUCCUCUUCUUCUCCAUAUCCUCCUUUUCCUCCUCCUUCUUCUUCGUCGUCGUCCUCGAUGAUUCAAUCGUCGUUGCCGUCGUGGUGCCCUAGUCGUGGGCCAUCGUCACGGGCACCUCGGACGGCAUCGGCCGCUCCUUCGCCUUCUGCCUCUUCCUGGUCCUUAUUGGCCGCAACCCCGACAAGCUCUGCAAGGUCGCUGUCGCCGCCGCCGUCCGCUCCCGUAGCCUGAAGAGGAAGAGGAAGAGGAAGAGGGCAAGGGCAGAAUUGUCAUUUUACAACUCUACUGUUAAAAAUUAACAGCUCUCUAAUGGAUCCUAACCAGAGGGACAUCUGAAUGACGCAGAACGGGAUAUAGGGUCCUGCGUUUUUAGAGGGCUCUAAACUAUAAUUUAUGAUUUUGAAAGCGUUUUGAAAAUUUGAAAGUUUUGAAAUACUUUUUUUUAGAAAUUUUCGUAAUUAAAAAAAUAAAUAAAUAAAAAUUAAAGAAAAGGUAGAAGAUAACGACGGUGGACACACUUGGCGACAACAACAAUAAUGGGAGGUGAAGGAAGUGCGGAUGGAGCCGGCGCUGCUAUCAGCAGAUGGCGUUGAAGGUGCUGGUAGCAGGUGUAUCGAGUUCUUGAUAACAUUGGUAGUGGGCGACGGUGAUGUGCUAGCAGCAAGCGUAUUAAUAGUGCUGAGUUUCAAGUCGGAGAAGAAAUUGCAAAAGGAAAGGAUAAAGAUAAAGGGACUCGCUCCGGUCGAUGCAUUGCGAAGGAAUAUUAGAGAACACAUCUCAUAGGAAAUAAUAAAAUCCUUCUUCAUUAAUUCUUUAUCGUCCAAUGGAGAGAAUAUUUAAAGAGCUUUUCCCGACAAUGAUAAGCUCAAAACAAAAAUUCUAACAAUAAAAUCUCUACCAAAAUUAACAACUUUCCUAACAACUUUUAGAUAAAAUCCUAACAAUAAAAUCAACAACUUUUAUAUAAAAUCUCUACCAAAUUAACAACUUUCCUAACAACUUGAUGAACUAAAUCGGUUUAAUCCGAUCAACAUAGGUUCAAGUCUGUUCUGCAUCAUUCGCUUCCGCUGCGCAAGAUCUCAUCCUCGAGAUUAGUUGGAUUUGUAAGAAGAUAGAAAACAACCAAGUGUGUAGAAUAAAGUGAUGCAGCCCAAUGCCUGCAUGUCGAACCACUUGUAUCAUCUGAGCUUCCGGUUUGGUAUUGAAGUAGGAAGAACAACUGACAAGUUCAUGAGAUAUCGUAAGGUUUGCUACCAAUAAGAAAUAUGCUUUCGGUGAAAUUUGAAGCUCUAGUAUAGUGGACUCAUAUUGCUGGGGCAAUAAGAGUAACUCGAUCUGUAAUCUUACCUCCUCAACACACUGAUUUACCUUAUCUUCAUGAAUCAACUCUGGAUUUUCUAAAUCUAACUCGGGCUCGGCCACAUCUGGAACUUCUUGGCAAUCGGAUAGUGUGGAUGAAACUGGAUCAGAAUUGUCGACUUCCAACUGUGCUAUAGGUUGUGUACUCUGUUGAGCAACUAGGGUUUCCAGUUGAACUUUUAGUUGGAUCCAUUGAUACUCAUCUCUGACAUUACCCAUCCAUCGAAAAUCAUCUUCAGCAAUUUUACCACCAUUUUCAAUAUCUUUCAACCUUCUUUCUUCUUCCUCCAAAAAUAUUAUGUUAAAAUCAAGAUGAGAUAUUUGCCUUUGUCCAUACCACGAUCUCAAGUCAUUUAGUAUUUCCAUCCGAAUAUCAUUUCUUUUUCUCUCAAAAUAUGACCUCUGAUCGUACAGCCAUUCAUCAAACUCUACUCAUGCCAUCUCACAUAUUUCUUUUAAAGACUCAAUAUGAAUUCCUUUUCUUCUACCAUACUUUUGAAAAACUUUUUUAAGACAUUCUUUGGCAUCCAUAAUAUUUUUUUCCUUUUUUUUUUACACCACUCUUUUUUAUAAUAUUUUUUCUCACCUUUUUUUUUUCAAUUUCCACCCGGUUUUCGUCCACAAGCCCAAAAUUUUUAACGAAAUAAAACCAUCAAAUAACCUAAGCUCUGAUACCAAAUCUGACGCAGGACGAGAUAUAGGGUCCUACAUUUUUAGAGGGCUCUAAAAUAUAAUUUAUGAUUUUGAAAGCGUUUUGAAAUUUUGAAAGUUUUGAAAUACUUUUUUUUUAGAAAUUUUCAUAAUUAAAAAAAAUAAAUAAAAAUUAAAGAAAAGGUAGAACACAACGACGGUGGACACACUUGGCGACGGCAACAAUAAUGGGAGGUGAAGUGCGGAUGGAGCCGGCGCUGCUAUCAGCAAAUAGCGUUGAAGGUGCUGGCAGCAGGUGUAUCGAGUUCUUGAUAACGUUGGUUGUGGGCGACAGUGAUGUGCUGGCAGCAAGCAUAUUAAUGGUGCUGGGUUUCAAGCCACAGAAGAAAUUGCAAAAGGAAAGAAUAAAGAUAAAGGGACUCGCUCCCUACGGACUCACUCCGGUCGACGCAUAAAUGCGAAGGAAUAUUAGAGAACACAUCUCAUAGGAAAUAAUAAAAUCCUUCUUCAUUAAUUCUUCAUCGUCCAAUGCAGAGAAUAUUUAAAGAGCUUUUCCCGACAGUGAUAAGCUCAAAACAAAAAUUCUAACAAUAAAAUCUCUACCAAAUUAACAACUUUCCUAACAACUUUUAGAUAAAAU
rnacentral:lncRNA from 1 species